rnacentral:rRNA from 1 species
UACGUAGGGGGCAAGCGUUGUCCGGAUUUAUUGGGCGUAAAGAGCGUGUAGGCGGCCUGACAAGUCUGCUGUGAAAACUCGAGGCUCAACCUCGAGAUGUCGGCGGAAACUGUCUGGCUAGAGUCCGGAAGAGGAGAGUGGAAUUCCUGGUGUAGCGGUGAAAUGCGCAGAUAUCAGGAAGAACACCUAUGGCGAAGGCGGUUCUCUGGGACGGUACUGACGCUGAGACGCGAAAGCGUGGGGAGCGAACAGG